rnacentral:rRNA from 1 species
AUUGAACGCUGGCGGCAUGCUUUACACAUGCAAGUCGAACGGUAACAGGUUAAGCUGACGAGUGGCGAACGGGUGAGUAAUGUAUCGGAACGUGCCCAGUCGUGGGGGAUAACGUAGCGAAAGCUACGCUGAUACCGCAUACGAUCUGUGGAUGAAAGCGGGGGACCGUAAGGCCUCGCGCGAUUGGAGCGGCCGAUAUCAGAUUAGGUAGUUGGUGGGGUAAAGGCCCACCAAGCCAACGAUCUGUAGCUGGUCUGAGAGGACGACCAGCCACACUGGGACUGAGACACGGCCCAGACUCCUACGGGAGGCAGCAGUGGGGAAUUUUGGACAAUGGGGGCAACCCUGAUCCAGCAAUGCCGCGUGCAGGAAGAAGGCCUUCGGGUUGUAAACUGCUUUUGUACGGAACGAAAAGGCUCUGGUUAAUACCUGAGGUUUAUGACGGUACCGUAAGAAUAAGCACCGGCUAACUACGUGCCAGCAGCCGCCGUAA